GGGAUGUUGAAUACACUUGUUUUCUUCUAUUAUGGAAGCACUGGAGAUUUUGUACCUUUUGUUUAGAAAUAUGCACAAAUAUAUGAGAUCCUAGUUUAUGUCAGGCUGGGUCUUAAGACUAAAGCAGGAAACGAGGUGGUCUGUGAUGUCAUAGAGGGUCUUCUACAUAGUGCCUCUGUCUUCUUUUCAGGACGUGAUGGCAUCCUGGAAAAAGUACUGGUAGGGAAGGAGUAGAUGAGCUGCCUGACUCAUUUGGUGCUAGACCCCACUUACCUGGCACCACAAACACUAUUAUUGCACAGGCACAGAUACUGAAGACUAUUGUUUUCUUAUUACUGCUAUUACCAUUGCUGUUAUCAUCAAAUACAAUAACCUUAUAAUUACUAUUGGACAUUCAUCAAGAAUUACAAAGCACUGCCUCUAAACAGGCUCCACCAAGGGUUGAUGACUUCAAGAGACAGAAAAUAAAACUCCAUCUAAGCCCCAUGGUUUGAAUGGCCAGAAGCUGUUUUGUCACCACAGACUGCUCUUCUAAGAAUAUACAGACUUCAACUCACUGAAUGUGUCUGCAAGCCAAGGGUUUGCUUUCUCUGUUGUAGAAAGAAAUCCUCUGAGACACUGUUAUACUGUCUUUCCUGGAACUUUUUGGCAUAGAAACAAAAUGGAAAGGCCAGAACAGUCAAUAUAACUGUCAUGUGCUCAGUACCACAAAAAAUCUGCAUAACACCAAAUUUCAAGAGUGAUGGAGUAUGAACUGGUCCUUACAUGUGGAUUAUACAGAUGGUCCUCAAAGUGUUUAAGCACAUUUGAACAUGCAAGAUCCAUUAUUUAUUGCAAGAGAUGGCGAUCAGAGGCGGAACUUCGCAUGGGCCAUUAGCAGGUGCCAAGGGAACAUGGCUAGCAGUGAGUUCUUUAGCAUCCCGGCCUGCCUCCCUCGGCAGCCAGCCCCUCUGGCUGAGCCAGCUGGAUCACACUGAAUUAGUCAAGUACUUCAUUAUCAACCCUCUCUGCACAUUUUGCUCCAGGUAUAAGUACUACAGAAAGACCCACAGAGAGAGAGAGACAGAGGCCCAGACCAAAUCCCAGUAUUUACUAUCAAAGAAGGGAGAAGGAGCUCUGAGGUAAAAAAGGGGGCCCCCUCCCCUCCUACCCGUGUACCCCCAAGUGGAUAAGGACCAAACUGACAGAAGCGAGGUGCUGUGGCCACCAAGAUCUACACGGCAGCAUUUAGAUAAAAACGUCACCAGCAAAAUACUGCUAAAUUAAUCCAACUUCUUUUGAUUAUUGAUGUCCUACUGUUUUGUGCCCGAAACAACAUACAAGAUGCAUCAGUCAUUUAUAAAUUAUUCAUUCAGUUAUUUUGGCAGCAGUGUCUUUCCAUUUAUCAACUGAUAAAUGUACGGAAGAUAAGAAGGGUAAUUUCAUAGCCCCUUGACAUUUACCUUUGACAUGAUUUUCAUAUUUAAUAAGGGAAAAACACUAAUGAAAUACGCUUGACAACAGCGAAGGCAUCACAGAUUAGCACCAGCAAAAAUGCGCCACGGGCACCUGAUCUCCCAGCCUCGGCCAGAACCUCCUACAGAUCCACCAGGCCUCCUGCUUGACACUCUCCCCGUUGGUCAUACCCACGUGACGGAAGUAGACAAAACUGGUAUUUUUGCUUUUGUGUUGUGUUUUGUUUGUUGUUUGUUUGGGCUGAAGAGUUUUACUCUGUGGUCUACACAGCGGGGAGGCAUGGUUUACAUUUUUGGGUUUGGGCAGGGCGGGGGUCUAAACAGUUUUAUUUCCUAAAAUAUUUCCGCCAGGCAAACUGAACAGGUCCAUAGGGGAGGAGUUUGCCUUCUCGUCUGUGUACCAAGCCCUUGAGAAUUGUAUCUCCCUCUGAUUCCUCAUGAAGUUGCAGUGAAUAAUCCCUCCACUCUUUGCCUCCCCACUGUAACCACAUCUAAUUUUGGCUGGCUUCUUACCAUCUCCUCACUUGCCUUUCCAUUCUACUGCCCUCCUCUGACCAACACUCAUAUGUAGGGAGAUCCAGAGAGAAGCAAACACUGGUUAUCAGAUGACCCUCAGGGAACCAAUCUGGGAUCUAGUUUUGGAGCAGGUCUUGCAGCCAAAUGGAAUGGGU
rnacentral:lncRNA from 12 species